rnacentral:rRNA from 1 species
CUCAAUUCGGGGUACACUGAGCGGCGAACGGGUGAGUAACACGUGGGUGAUCUGCCCUGCACUCUGGGAUAAGCCUGGGAAACUGGGUCUAAUACCGGAUAUGACCUGCUCUCGCAUGGGGGUGGGUGGAAAGAUUUAUCGGUGCUGGAUGGGCCCGCGGCCUAUCAGCUUGUUGGUGGGGUAAUGGCCUACCAAGGCGACGACGGUUAGUCGACCUGAAAGGGUGACCGGCCACUCUGGGACUGAGACACGGCCCACACUCCUACGGGAGGCAGCAGUGGGGAAUAUUGCACCAUGGGCGAAAACCCAGCUGCAGCCACGCCGCGUGAGGG